UACGGAGGGUGCGAGCGUUGUCCGGAAUCACUGGGCGUAAAGGGCGCGUAGGCGGCCUGAUAAGUCGGGGGUGAAAUCCUGCGGCUUAACCGCAGGGCUGCCUUCUAAACUGUCAGGCUUGAGCACAGUAGAGGCAGGUGGAAUUCCCGGUGUAGCGGUGGAAUGCGUAGAGAUCGGGAAGAACAUCAGUGGCGAAGGCGGCCUGCUGGGCUGUUGCUGACGCUGAGGCGCGACAGCGUGGGGAGCAAACAGG
rnacentral:rRNA from 1 species